rnacentral:snRNA from 1 species
AGCUUUGACAGUGGCAGUUUUGUGGCCAAUGAGGUUUAUCCGAGGCACGAUUAUUGCUCAUUGAAAACUUUUCCCAGUGCCCUGCCGUGACAAAUACAGCCAGCACUGGCAAGUUUUGACGGUCUCUAUGGAGA